rnacentral:ncRNA from 1 species
GCACAAAAUUCAGCCGGUCGUCCGGAGACAAACUUUCCCCGAAGGAUCCAAGCGAUAUUUAAGUGCAAAUUGUUCAUCUGACUUGAUAUAGGGGGCGAAAGACUACUCGACACUUUCGAAUCAAGGCAUUGCUUUGGAAUACAUUAAACAUUAAGAUGGAUAACAUCAUAGGAUUCGGAUCUUAUAGUAUUCACCUUAGGGAUGAGAGUAAUGAUUAAUAAGGCCAAUCAAGGGCAUUUGUACUUUAAGUCAUAGGUGAUAUUUUUUUAUUUAUGAAAGACGAACUAGUGCGAAAGCAUUUGUUAAGAAUGUUUUUAUUAAUCAAGAGUAGAAGUUGAGGGGCUCGAAGACGAUCAAAUAUUGUCAACCACGGUUCGGUGGAUGUUGCUUAUGGGACUCCACCGACACCUUAUAAAGGAUCAAAAUCCUUGGAU